GGAUGUAAGGGCAAUCUGGCUGUGACAUCUGUCACCCCAUUGAUCGCCAGGGUUGAUUCGGCUGAUCUGGCUGGCUAGGUAGAUGCCCCCUUCAUCCCUCACUGCUCCACGUAUGUCCCUCCUGAAGCUGCGUGCUCGAUUGAAGAGGACGACCUUCCCCGAAUAGAGGAGGACCAGUCUUCAAUCAAGGGUAUAUGAGUAGCUGCGCUCCCCUGCUAGAACCUCCAAACAAAAUGGCCAAUUGUCUCUGACAAGGAAAAAGGAGUACAACAUAUAACUGUGGUUCUCCUUAGUU
rnacentral:snRNA from 1 species